UAAAUAACAUUGAGACGGUCUGAUUCCAGGUUCACACGACCAAGCAAAAACGAAUAUCAUAAAUCAUAAGGAGACCACUUUUAUCUGAGCUUCAGGCAACGAGAAUAGUAGCUUCAGGCACCAUUCCAGUCAAGCCACCCGCAGAUGUAUUUUAGCUCAACAGUUUCCUGACCAUAAAGAGAGAGAAUAUCAACCCGUCAGGAGUAUAUUCAAAGAGAAAACCAAUAGAUAUGAUUGCAGACAACAUGAACUAUUUAAAUUGCUUAAUAGUAAAAGUAGUCAUACCUCCUGUCACUCUUUCAUCACUAUAUGAGAAUUAACCUGGGAUGGUUGGGAUGGCAAUUUGCUUCCUUCCUUAUGGCAGUUGCAGCAGCGUCAACUUCAGAAGAUGUGGCAUCCCCUUCUUGAAGACUAACUCGUACAUCUUUCAGAUAUGGGAGGUGCUCAAGACCUAAGUAGAACCCAUAGGCCUUUGCCAUUGAUACAGAGAACCACAGCUCAAGAUUCUCAAGCUUUGGCAGUGCCCCUUUCUCAAAUAGAAAGGCACUUGCACCUUCACCAAAACGUUCAUAAACGAACUCCUUCAAACAUUGGAAUCCCCUGGCUUGCAAAACAAGCCUGUCUUUAUGGACUGUGUUGGUAUAAAGUUUCAGAGAAAGUAAUGCGGACAGCUCACCAAGUACGCCAAGAACCUCCUCUGUUAUUACACUUAAAUUAAUGUCUAGGUAUGCAAGACUAGUGAGUGCUGGAGUAAUCCACUUUGGCAGUUUUGAGAAACAGUACGAAGUGCUCAUCUGAAAUCUUUGGAGACAAGAUGGAAGAGGAGACCAGGAAUCUAAUAACUCGAAUAGAUACGAAUUACCACCAUCUACACACACGGACUGGAGUUUGUAGAUGCCAAGCUUGCAUAGUGAGGAAUGAAACAUCUCUGCAUGACUCUUGUACCGUUCACCGUUCACCGUGUACCGUACAUGGAGUACCUCCAAAUUGAUCAGAUUCCCUAGCUCCUUCACUGCAUCUACUGAACUCAUGGUAAUACACAAUCCUGAGAUCUCCCUUAAGUUUGUCAUAUUUCCAAUCCCCAUUGGUAUCUUCCUCAGAUACAUGUCACUGAUCAUAUGUUGUAGUUUAGUGAGCUGAUCAAUUCUAGCCGGCAAGUCUCUGAUUCCUGUACUCCUUAAAUCUAGCGUCUCUAGAUCAUGCAGCAUCACAAUUCCAGAUGGUAACUCCGGUAUGUAUGUUUUAUUAAAGCCUAGGUACUUUAGCUGGAACAGGUUUUCCGUACCAUCCAUAUCAUACCCCGACACGCCCCGGCAACCAUCAAAAUCUAGUACACGUAAACUUUCAAACUUUGUAAGACUUGGCAAGUAUUUUACGCAACAUGAUGUUGUUAUUACAAGAGACCUGGCAUGGCUUAGAUCUUUCUUUGCCAAUUCAGAUGCAAGUUCCUGGUUAAUGUCCUGGAUCGACAAUCGUCGAAUAGAACACUGAGAAUUUCCCCAAAUAGUUUGGCUGCCGUUCACCACAGUGAUGAAAUUUUCUUCAAUGGAUUUUGAAAUAAUAAGUUCAAGCAUCAUGUCAUGAACUCGACAGGCUCGCACCUUCCCAUCAAAAUGAAUGUCCACUGGUUGGACCAGGCUUCUGUUGAUAAGCUCGUAAAAAUAACUUUCUGCAACCUCUUGACAGCUCCUCCCACGCUCUUCAGUAAUAAAGCCUUCCGCAAUCCAUUGCCUCACCAACCUUUCUCUGCCAAUCACGUAAUCCUCAGGGAAAUUACUUAAAUGCAACAAGACAGUCUUGAGGUGUGGUGGAAGAUCAUUAUAGCUCAAGGAUAGUAUGUUCUUCAUUCCUUCUAGACUCUGGUUUCUGUUCAAGUCAAAACCAAUGGAUCUUUUUACCUUCUCCCACUCUUCUUUGACACGUGGUCUGUUUGCUAGUAAACCAGAUAUACUGAUAAUUGCCAAUGGUAGGCCUCCACACUUUUUCAAGAUAGCUUUUGAGACUUCAAUAAACAUGUGAGGGCAGCAAUUCUCUAAGCCAAAGAUUCUUCUGAAAAUUAAUCUGUAACUCCAAUGAAAAUAAUUUAUAUAUGAAAAAGUAUCAGAAAAUUCAAGGAAUCUGAAUAUAAAUGACAUGUAGAUUAAUGAAUAAGUUAAUUCUUAUAAAUACUUUGUAGAUGGAAUUUGGAAAAUAUUUAAAUUUCACUAUAAAUGACAUGAUCAAACACUCUCUUAACUACAAACCAGCAACCUAACAUGUCAUCCCAUGCAUGUUAACAUCAAGUUGAUCUGAGCAUCAGUUCGAAUCAAUUAAAAUGGUAUCCGAGAAUACCUCGUUUGAAGUGGUAUUUGAACUUGAUUCAAAUCAACUUCAAACCUAAUACAUGUUAGCUAUAAUAAUUUACCAUCUUGUAUUCUCAUGCCAUGCUCAUGCAUCAUUUUGAUUGCAUAUGUUUGAUAUUGGCUGUUGUCAUUCCUUUCGGUAGGCUCCGCUCCCCCCGGAUUCCACCGAAUAUCCGUCUGACGGAUAUUGUCACUCCUGUGAGCAACAAGGCAAGCAACCAUUUUGAUCAUCCCGAUAAAUCCCAUGUUCUUGCUCCUGCACUUACUUAUUGCAUUAGGAUCAAAUGCUUCAAAUGCUUUUGCCACGUUAGUUGAACCCACUUCCUUUGCAUGACCUAUCAUUGUCACAGUAAAUAGCUAAACCUUGCAACCUAGCAUACCUGGUAGUUUGCUUGAGCCAUGAUGUGACGUAUCCUGCUAUGCAUGCUAUGCUUAGAGUUGUGUAUGGUCUGUCAUCUGCGAGAUGAACAGAAUUGAGAGAAUGUGUUCGGAAAGCAAAGGUUGCGUGUUGAACCUGAUUUGGUAAAGGUACCGGUGAAAGGCUGUGUAGGAGUACAUGGCGGGUUGUUUCAUUGGAACCGUCCUUAGGAACUGAGUUCCGUGUAUGUAAUCCAAGACUAGAUACUACCACACGUUGGGAUACUUAAUUGACCCUCUCGACUUAUUAAUCGCUUAGUAUUCGGUCCAGGAGUUGCAAGUAGUUUCUGAUGUUUAUAGUCAUGCUGGAGGCCGUGCAUAGCGCUGACCUGAGAGGUGGGAUGUGAUGCGGUAGGCAGUGGCACGGUGUACCAAGUGGCACCCGGAUGGUGGGCUUGGGAACCCUGCGCACAUCGUUUGAGGCCGUGACGGAAACCUCGGCCGGACUUCCGUACGGGUUACUCUCAGAUAGGCGAUAAACCUGGACUAGGUACUAGUGUGGUUAACGGUCGUGGCCGACUCCCUCGCUGGGCAUCCGCUUGAAGGUUGCCGAGGUGCAUGACGUGUACAUGGCGAUAAGUGGCGAGAGCGUGUGUGACGAAGUACACCCCUGCAGGGUUAUGAUCUAUUCGAAUAGCCGCGUCCGCGGAUAUGGACUACUUGGAGACAUAUGUUGUUCAUAGAUAACUUAAAUGGCUACUCAUAAAAUUGUCAAGAUAAGCGUGAGUGUCGCGGACGACUUUUCCGUAUGGAGACGGAAUGAUUCCACGAUGGUGUAUUGUUGUGGUGUUAGUGGACUCAUGUGCGAGAAAUCAAGUUGUCAAAAUUAUUUAAAAAUGCAAGUUGUCUAGCCACGAGUCAAAUGCUGGCUUUCCGCAUGAAACCCCACCAUACCUUAUUGAUACAUUGCAUGAGUAGUUAGUUAUCCUAAAGUCUUGCUGAGUACCUCCGUACUCAUGUUUGCUUAAUAAAUGUUGCAGAGGUUGCUAAUGACCCUAAUGGUGGGUUCUUCAUAGACAUCGACGACGACGAGUAGCUGGUGUCCCAGCUACGAUCUGGCCCUAGGUUGGGUCUGUAGUAUAGUCAGGCCAUGUGCCUUCUAGUUGCACAUGUCUGUACUCAGACAGUUUUAAAUACUUCCGCUGGCUUGUAACUGAAUGACUGCUAUUAUGGGUCGUGAGACCCUUACUGUGUAAUAUUAUGUGUGUGGCUCUUCCGAGCCUCUUAAAUAAAGAUUGUAUGUUUAUGGUUAUGUUGUGAUGCCAUCGAUGUAUCUAUACAUAUUGGUAUGCCAUGCGUACGUGUGUCGUACUUGAUAUGUAUGGGGUUCGACUACCUAGCCGUGAACUUUAGUAGCACUCCUUACAGGGAAAUGCCCCUUUGUGAUCCAACGAGCCAUGGUAGUUCGCUACUGCUCCGGACACAUUGGUUGACCGGCAUGUGUCCUUCUUAGCUGCUGUGUCAGUCUUCAUUGGGGAAAUGUCACGCGAUGUAAUGGAGUCCUUGUAGCUUGCUACGACUCGUCUACAUUCGCUGGUGACCGACACCUGCUUUGUUGGGUCAUGUAUGUUUGUCCUUGUGCGGUACGGUCACUUUGGUUUAUGACUAGACUUGUCGAUCCGGGUUCUUUGACAUUGGAAUGCUAGCGACACAAUUGCAUACGUGAGUCAAAAGACGCAAACGGUCCCGGCUAAGAUAAGGCUGCAGCCGUGGAGUUAACCGUGCGUGAGACCGCAAAGGAAUGCGAUGUGUUACAGGCUGGAUUCCUAUGGCUUAGGAUCGGGGUCCAGACACGAGAUCCCUCCAAAAAUGUACUAGGCAGUAACUAAUGUAGUAUUCCCUCAAAAAAAAGCAGUACUGGAUUACACGAGGACAAAAUUCCACACAAAUGUACUAGUAAUUCUUAAUGACAACAGUAAAUAAAAUUGAGACGGUCUAAUUCCAAAUUCACACGCCAAGCAAAAACGAAUAUCAUAAAUCAUAUGGAGACCACUUUUAUCUGUGCUUCAGGCAACGAGAAUAGUAGCUUCAGGCACCAUUCCAGUCAACCCACCCGCAAGUUGUAUUUUAGCUCAACAGUUUCCUGACCAUAAAGAGAAAACCAAUAGAUCUGAUUGCAGACAGCAUGAAUUAUCUAAAUUUCCUAAUAAUAGAAGUAGCCAUACCUCCCCUCAAUCUUUCAUGCUUUAGGGAGAGUUAACCUGGGAUGGUUGGGAUGGAGCCUUGCUUCCUUCAUUAUGGCAGUUGCAGCAGCGUCAACUUCAGAAGAUGUGGCACCCCGCUUCUGAAGAACAACUCGUACAUCUUUCAGAUAUGGGAGGUGCUCAAGACCUAAGUAGAACCCAUAGGCCUUUGCCAUUGAUACAGAGAACCACA
rnacentral:lncRNA from 1 species